GACUAUAUGAAGCUGGAAUCGCUUAGUAAAUCGUAGAUCAGCAUGCUACGGUGAAUACGUUCCCGGGUCUUGUACACACCGCCCGUCACACCACGAGAGUUUGUAACACCCGAAGCCGGUGGAGUAACCAUUUGGAGCUAGCCGUCGAAGGUGGGACAAAUGAUUGGGGUGAAGUCGUAACAAGGUAGCCGUAUCGGAAGGUGCGGCUGGAUCACCUCCUUU
rnacentral:ncRNA from 1 species